GGCUGACUUGUCCUUCUGCAGAAGCCUAUCAAAUUCUGUCCCAGUCUUCUGUCCUUCUGUAACUUUUCCAGCUCGAUCAACAGAUCCGGGGUGAUAAGCCUCUUAAAUAUAUGGACGACGCGGGGGCGUGGAGCGCCCGACGCGAAGCGGAGGACGGUCCCCCUCCACGAAACUAUUGAAUGCACAUCAUGAAGGAGCCGGUGGCUGGCAAAGGGAGCGGGAGCCAAACCUUCUUCAGGCGUUCUAAUUUAAUUGUUGGGGGAGUUUGCCC